rnacentral:rRNA from 1 species
CCUACGGGUGGCUGCAGUGGGGAAUAUUGGACAAUGGGGGCAACACUGAUCCAGCCAUGCCGCGUGUGUGAAGAAGGCCCUCGGGUUGUAAAGCACUUUCAGUGAGGAAGAACGCCUGGUGGUUAAUACCCAUCAGGAAAGACAUCACUCACAGAAGAAGCACCGGCUAACUCCGUGCCAGCAGCCGCGGUAAUACGGAGGGUGCGAGCGUUAAUCGGAAUUACUGGGCGUAAAGCGCGCGUAGGUGGCUUGAUAAGCCGGUUGUGAAAGCCCCGGGCUCAACCUGGGAACGGCAUCCGGAACUGUCAAGCUAGAGUGCAGGAGAGGAAGGUAGAAUUCCCGGUGUAGCGGUGAAAUGCGUAGAGAUCGGGAGGAAUACCAGUGGCGAAGGCGGCCUUCUGGACUGACACUGACACUGAGGUGCGAAAGCGUGGGUAGCAAACAGGAUUAGAUACCCUAGUAGUC